rnacentral:misc_RNA from 1 species
GAUGAAGAACGUAGCGAAAUGCGAUAAGUAACGUGAAUUGCAGAAUUCAGUGAACCAUCGAAUCUUUGAACGCACAUUGCGCCCGCCAGUAUUCUGGCGGGCAUGCCUGUCCGAGCGUCAUCUCAACCCUCGAGCCCCCCCGGGGGCUCGGCGUUGGGGACCGGCCCCGCCCCAGGGCGCGCCGCCCCCCAAAUCCAGUGGCGGUCCCGCCGCAGCCUCCCCUGCGCAGUAGCUUGCACACUCGCACCGGAGAGCGGCGCGGCCACGCCGUAAAACCCCCCGACCACGGAGCCCCGGCUCCUGAACGUUGACCUCGGAUCAGGUAGGAAUACCCGCUGAACUUAAGCAUAUCAAUAAGCGGAGGA